rnacentral:lncRNA from 1 species
ACUUCCAAAGGAUUUUAAAAUUAAGUGAGGUGCUUAGGUUAAAAUGCCUUCCAAGAUCAAAUUAGACGUGGUGUCUAGGUUGAUGUUUGAGCCGAUAGUAUGUUGUAGUAGACAUAGGAUAUUUAGUUGGACUAACCCCUAUACAAAAACUCUCACACUCAAUUGGGGAAAGUCCAGAGUCAAACUCACACUAGAGAUGAACCAAGGCACAUGAUGAACUCCAACAACUUUACAUAAGAAGACACAACUCAUUCAUCAUAAAUACAUACUUCAUUCAUCAUGGAUGGAAGAACUAUAAGAAUUAAAGUUCAUUCACUUUAGCUUCAUCUGCAAGUUAUCUUUGUCUUAAGCCAUGCCUUGUAUAGAAUAUGAUCUAAUUCAAUCACCACCUUUUCAUUAGCAUAGGUGUAACUAAUAAAAUUUCUGGACAAACAACCUGUAUCCCAAAUUUGAGUUUUCCUUCACGUAUAUGUGGUCCACUAAUCUUCUACGGGCAUAGAAUAAUGAGUGAGGCAAAAAGGUCUAACAAGGUGUCAAAAUAUCAAAAAGCAAAAAGAUGACAUGAUAAAAGAAUGAGAAAGGAGUGUGAUAAAGGAGACAAGUUGC